rnacentral:rRNA from 1 species
UACGUAGGGUGCAAGCGUUGUCCGGAAUUAUUGGGCGUAAAGAGCUCGUAGGCGGUCUGUCGCGUCUGCUGUGAAAACCUGGGGCUCAACCCCGGGCCUGCAGCCGAUACGGGCAAGCUAGAAUUCGGUAGGGGAGACUGGAAUUCCUGGUGUAGCGGUGAAAUGCGUAGAGAUCCGGAAGAACACCGGUGGCGAAGGCGGCCUGCUGGGGUCUGGCUGACGCUGAGGCGCGACAGCGUGGGGAGCAAACAGG